CCGAGUCUUAACUGGGCGUUAAGUUGCAGGGUAUAGACCCGAAACCCGGUGAUCUAGCCAUGGGCAGGUUGAAGGUUGGGUAACACUAACUGGAGGACCGAACCGACUAAUGUUGAAAAAUUAGCGGAUGACUUGUGGCUGGGGGUGAAAGGCCAAUCAAACCGGGAGAUAGCUGGUUCUCCCCGAAAGCUAUUUAGGUAGCGCCUCGUGAAUUCAUCUCCGGGGGUAGAGCACUGUUUCGGCAAGGGGGUCAUCCCGACUUACCAACCCGAUGCAAACUGCGAAUACCGGAGAAUGUUAUCACGGGAGACACACGGCGGGUGCUAACGUCCGUCGUGAAGAGGGAAACAACCCAGACCGCCAGCUAAGGUCCCAAAGUCAUGGUUAAGUGGGAAACGAUGUGGGAAGGCCCAGACAGCCAGGAUGUUGGCUUAGAAGCAGCCAUCAUUUAAAGAAAGCGUAAUAGCUCACUGGUCGAGUCGGCCUGCGCGGAAGAUGUAACGGGGCUAAACCAUGCACCGAAGCUGCGGCAGCGACACUAUGUGUUGUUGGGUAGGGGAGCGUUCUGUAAGCCUGUGAAGGUGUACUGUGAGGUAUGCUGGAGGUAUCAGAAGUGCGAAUGCUGACAUAAGUAACGAUAAAGCGGGUGAAAAGCCCGCUCGCCGGAAGACCAAGGGUUCCUGUCCAACGUUAAUCGGGGCAGGGUGAGUCGACCCCUAAGGCGAGGCCGAAAGGCGUAGUCGAUGGGAAACAGGUUAAUAUUCCUGUACUUGGUGUUACUGCGAAGGGGGGACGGAGAAGGCUAUGUUGGCCGGGCGACGGUUGUCCCGGUUUAAGCGUGUAGGCUGGUUUUCCAGGCAAAUCCGGAAAAUCAAGGCUGAGGCGUGAUGACGAGGCACUACGGUGCUGAAGCAACAAAUGCCCUGCUUCCAGGAAAAGCCUCUAAGCAUCAGGUAACAUCAAAUCGUACCCCAAACCGACACAGGUGGUCAGGUAGAGAAUACCAAGGCGCUUGAGAGAACUCGGGUGAAGGAACUAGGCAAAAUGGUGCCGUAACUUCGGGAGAAGGCACGCUGAUAUGUAGGUGAAGUCCCUCGCGGAUGGAGCUGAAAUCAGUCGAAGAUACCAGCUGGCUGCAACUGUUUAUUAAAAACACAGCACUGUGCAAACACGAAAGUGGACGUAUACGGUGUGACGCCUGCCCGGUGC
rnacentral:rRNA from 1 species